UGGCGAACGGGUGAGUAACACGUGGGUGAUCUGCCCUGCACUUCGGGAUAAGCCUGGGAAACUGGGUCUAAUACCGGAUAGGACGAUGGUUUGGAUGCCAUUGUGGAAAGUUUUUCGGUGUGGGAUGAGCUCGCGGCCUAUCAGCUUGUUGGUGGGGUAAUGGCCUACCAAGGCGACGACGGGUAGCCGGCCUGAGAGGGUGGACGGCCACAUUGGGACUGAGACACGGCCCAG
rnacentral:rRNA from 1 species